UUCCUUCAUAUUUUGCUUUACUGUAGUUCUUUAUUUAUUUACACCUGUCCUUAUUUCUCCCACAGGAAAGCUGCAUGAAGGACUGGAGGGGAAAGUAGUUGGAGUUCCUCAAGAAGCAAAGAGGGGAAUAGCCAAGUGUACUAGGGUAUCAUGCAUAGCCUUGCAGCUUUCUUCUUGGCCAUUUCAUAUUAAAUUUGCCAGGUGUUUUGCAUGUUUCAGAUCAGCUUUCGUGCUGUAGGAACAACGCUGUUAGCCUCUGCAAAAAAAAUUCUUUUUCUAGGGGCUAGAGUAUCAUGCAAAAAAUUUGGCCUUGAAGAACAUAAUACAGAGCCAGGCUGCUCUGGGAGCAGAGUGGGCACCAGAUGGUGACCCCUGUUUCACAUUUUGUUGGUUCUGUGCCUUUGCUCCAUGAGGACAUAGCUGCAAUGGGCUUUUCUGCUGGAUGAGUUUAUGUCCCACACCUGCACCGGCUCCAGGAGAGAAGCUAAUUAAGGAGGAUGGCAACCAAAAAGGCUUCUGCUCCAUGCCUCUUCUCUGCUACCAAAGUGACAGGAAGAACAGAAAUUAAUAUAUGCCUUC
rnacentral:lncRNA from 1 species